rnacentral:misc_RNA from 1 species
AACGCACCUUGCGCCCGUUGGUAUUCCGACGGGCAUGCCUGUUCGAGUGUCUUGAAAUCAUCAACCUCCCCGGUUUGCGCUGGGUUCUCGGUUGGAUAUGGGGGUCUUGCUGCCGAAAGGCGGCUCCCCUUGAAUGCAUCGGUUGGGGCCUUCGAGCUUAUGCGUCAAUUGGGCGUUGUAUUACCCUCGCUUUUACUGACUGCGGCUCGGCUUUGUGACCCUUCCUCGACUUGCCCUUGGAGUGGCGGUCAACUUUUGAACUUCUGACCUCGAAUCAGGUAGGACUACCCGCUGAACUUAA